rnacentral:rRNA from 1 species
CCUUGAAUUACGCCCUCGCAAGAGGGAGAUGCCCAACGACUGUAAACAAAUGGGACGCGUAAGUUGGCCCUCGUGGCCGGCGACACUUUCGAAUUGCGGGGAUACCCUGAGAGCUCUGCCUACCAACCCGGGGGGAAACCCACCGGGGGCCCGUGCUAACAACACGGGGCGGUAAAAACGGUCAGAGAUUGGGCAAUCGCGCAGCCAAGCCCCUAACUCCAGGCCCGCCUGGACACGGGGAAGGUUCACAGACUAAGUGGAAGUGGGUGCGGCCGCUCGGCCGUGCUUAAGAUAUAGUCGGGCCCUCAGCGAAAGCUGGGGGGUAAGUCACUGCAAAAUGGCGAUCAACCGUUCCGUAGGUGAACCUGCGGAAGGAUCAUUACCGAGUUGAUUCUGAGCUCCGGCUCGACUCUCCCACCCUUUGUGUACCUACCUCUGUUGCUUUGGCGGGCCCGCGGUUCGGCCUCGUGCCGUCCAGCACCCGCCAGAGGACCACAAAACUCCAGUCAGUGAACGUCUCAGUCUGAAAAACAAGUUAAUAAACUAAAACUUUCAACAACGGAUCUCUUGGUUCUGGCAUCGAUGAAGAACGCAGCGAAAUGCGAUAAGUAAUGUGAAUUGCAGAAUUCAGUGAAUCAUCGAAUCUUUGAACGCACAUUGCGCCCCUUGGUAUUCCGGGGGGCAUGCCUGUUCGAGCGUCAUUUCAACCCUCAAGCUCUGCUUGGUAUUGGGCUCCGUCCUCUGGGACGCGCCUCAAAGACCUCGGCGGUGGCGUCUUGCCUCAAGCGUAGUAGAAAACACCUCGCUUUGGAGCGCACGGCGUCGCCCGCCGGACGAACCUUUGAAUUUUUCUCAAGG